rnacentral:rRNA from 1 species
ACCGGCAGCUCAAGUGGUGGCCAUUUUUUUUGGGCCUUAAGCGUUUCGAGCCGGUUUGAUAAGUCCCUGGGGAAAUCCCGCAACUUAACUGGGGGGCUUGGCGGAGAUACUAUUAGACUUGAGGUCGGGAGAGGUUAGGGGUACUCCCAGGGUAGGGGUGAAAUCCUAUAAUCCUGGGAGGACCACCUGUGGCGAAGGCGCCUAACUGGAACGAACCUGACGGUGAGUAACGAAAGCCAGGGGCGCGAACCG